UGGGUGGGUGAGUGUAUGUGUAUAUAUAUAUAUGUAUAUAUAUAUAUGUAUAUAUACACACAUACACACACACAUAUA